rnacentral:lncRNA from 1 species
UUUCCUAGUUCACAUAUAUGUUACCAUGUAGUUCUCUGCAGGUUCCCAAGAUAGUUUCCUUUAGAAACAAAAUAAUACCUUGCACAUUGCCUGGUUCAUUAUUUACUUUGCCCUUUGUUCAGGUGACCUCUGCUCCGUUUCUCUGGCACUGGGAUUAACCAGUGGCUCCACAGUUCAACAGGGAAUUCUUCUUAUUUUUUAAUGUAGCCUAAUGCUUCUGGUUUUAAAUAUUGAGAGAGUUAAAGUGAUACUGAACAGUUUGCCUUUUUGCUUUUGUUGGUACUGGUUUGCUAUGAUUCAUCAGACUUUUAAUUACUUUAACAGAUAAACAAGAAUUUCAGUUAUGUUAAGUUCUGUGUUUUCUAAACCAAGACCAAAGGGGAAGGCUUAUGGUACGAUCAAGAGUACAAAAGGAACUAUUAGGCAAUGUCUGCUUUACUUUCUAUUCAAGUUUGAACUAUGUAGGAAUUCAGAUGAAACAAUUUGAAUAUUAGAACACUUGGGAAUAAAAAAUGUUUCAGAAU